GCUAAAUAGCUAGCUCACUCAACCAAAAUGAACCAGAUAAUAUAUCUAAUUUUUCCCAACCCAAACCCAAUAAACUAAAACAUUUUACCGUCCUAGUAUAGGCGAUAGAAAAGAAACUACCGAAGCAAUAGAAAUAGUACCGCAAGGGAAAGCUGAAAAAGUAAUGAAAUAACCCGUUAAAGCACUAAAAAGCAGAGAUUUAUCCUCGUACCUUUUGCAUCAUGAUUUAGCUAGCACCUUUGAGCAAAAAGAAUUUUAGUUCAAAACCCCGAAACCAAGUGAGCUACCCCGAGACAGCCUAUUAUAGGGCCAACCCGUCUCUGUGGCAAAAGAGUGGGAAGAUCUCCGGGUAGCAGUGAUAAACUUACCGAACUUGGUGAUAGCUGGUUACUUGGGAAAUGGAUAGAAGUUCAGCCUCGUUCUCCUCGCACCAAAAAAGCAACGCUGCACAAUGGAGUAGAGUAAAAUACGAGAGUUAGUCAAAGGGGGUACAGCCCCUUUGAACAGGAUACAACCUGCCCAGGAGGUUAAGGAUCAUAUUAACUAAAAUAACUGCUUUAGUGGGCCUAGAAGCAGCCACCUAUUAGAAAGCGUUAAAGCUCAAGCAGAUAACAACAUUUAUUAUUCUGAUAAUAUAUUUCCUAAACCCCUAACCCUACCAAGUUAUUCCAUGCCACCAUGGAAGCAAUACUGCUAAAAUGAGUAACAAGAAGACACCCUCUUCUCCUAGCCCACGUGUAAGUUAGAUCGGACCAACCACUAACAAUUAACGAAUCCAACCCAAGAGGAAACUGUGCAUAAAUAAUGAAAACAAGAAAUACCCACACACCCCUCAUCGUUAACCCUACACUGGAGAGCCGAUAGGAAAGACUUAAAGAAAAAGAAGGAACUCGGCAAAUCUAAGCCUCGCCUGUUUACCAAAAACAUCGCCUCCCGCAAAUACCGAAGUAUAGGAGGUCCUACCUGCCCAGUGAUUAUAUUCAACGGCCGCGGUAUCCUGACCGUGCUAAGGUAGCGAAAUCACUUGUCUUUUAAAUGAAGACCUGUAUGAAUGGUGGAACGAGGGCUUAACUGUCUCCUUUUUCAGGUCAGUGAAAUUGAUCUGCCCGUGCAGAAGCGGACAUAUACAUGCAAGACGAGAAGACCCUUUGGAGCUUAAGACUUAAGAGUCAACUGCGUUAAGAAUUUUGACUAAAAAAAUUAAGAUUAACCACCACUGACUCUGCGCCUUCGGUUGGGGCGACCGCGGGGGAAACAAAGCCCCCACGCAGAAUGGGAUAACCCUUAAACUAAGAGAGACAUCUCUAAGUCACAGAACCUCUGACUUAAUGAUCCGGCACAAACCGAUCAACGAACCAAGUUACCCUAGGGAUAACAGCGCAAUCCCCUUCAAGAGCCCGUAUCAACAAGGGGGUUUACGACCUCGAUGUUGGAUCAGGACAUCCUAAUGGUGCAGCCGCUAUUAAGGGUUCGUUUGUUCAACGAUUAAAGUCCUACGUGAUCUGAGUUCAGACCGGAGCAAUCCAGGUCAGUUUCUAUCUGUAUCACUAUUUUUCCUAGUACGAAAGGACCGGAAAAAUGAGGCCCAUGCCACAGGCACGCCUCCUAUUAACUUGAUGAAAACAACUCAAUCAAGUAAUAAUAGGUACCUCUCUCCCCGAGAGAAGGGAGCGCA
rnacentral:rRNA from 1 species